rnacentral:rRNA from 1 species
UACGUAGGGGGCUAGCGUUGUCCGGAUUUAUUGGGCGUAAAGAGCGUGUAGGCGGCCAGGUAGGUCUGCUGUGAAAACUCGAGGCUCAACCUCGAGACGUCGGCGGAAACCAUCUGGCUAGAGUCCGGAAGAGGAGAGUGGAAUUCCUGGUGUAGCGGUGAAAUGCGCAGAUAUCAGGAGGAACACCGGUGGUGUAAACGGCUUCUGGACCAUAACUGACGCUGAGGCACGAAAGCGUGGGUAGCAAACAGG